rnacentral:rRNA from 1 species
GUGAGGAAUUUUCCGCAAUGGGCGAAAGCCUGAUCCAGCCAUGCCGCGUGAACGAUGAAGGCCUUCGGGUUGUAAAGUUCUUUAGCCGAUGAUUAUAAUGACUGUAGUCGGAAAAUAAGCCCCGGCUAACUUCGUGCCAGCAGCCGCGGUAAUACGAAGGGGGCGAGCGUUAUUCGGAAUCACUGGGCGUAAAGCGUGCGUAGGCGGUUUUGUAAGUUAGGAGUGAAAGCCCAGGGCUCAACCUUGGAAUUGCUCUUAAAACUGCAAGGCUCGAAUCUCGGAGAGGAUAGCGGAAUUUCCAGUGUAGCAGUGAAAUGCGUAGAUAUUGGAAGGAACACCAGUGGCGUAAGCGGCUAUCUGGACGAGUAUUGACGCUGAGGCACGAAAGCGUGGGGAUCAAACAGGAUUAGAAACCCUAGUAGUCC